CCGGCACGGGUGAGUAACACGUAUCCAACCUGCCGUCUACUCUUGGCCAGCCUUCUGAAAGGAAGAUUAAUCCAGGAUGGCAUCAUGAGUUCACAUGUCCGCAUGAUUAAAGGUAUUUUCCGGUAGACGAUGGGGAUGCGUUCCAUUAGAUAGUAGGCGGGGUAACGGCCCACCUAGUCAACGAUGGAUAGGGGUUCUGAGAGGGAGGUCCCCCACAUUGGAACUGAGACACGGUCCAA
rnacentral:rRNA from 1 species